rnacentral:rRNA from 1 species
AACGAACGCUGGCGGCAUGCCUAACACAUGCAAGUCGAACGAGACCUUCGGGUCUAGUGGCGCACGGGUGCGUAACGCGUGGGAACCUGCCCUUAGGUUCGGAAUAACUCCCCGAAAGGGGUGCUAAUACCGGAUAAUGUCUUCGGACCAAAGAUUUAUCGCCUUUGGAUGGGCCCGCGUUGGAUUAGCUAGUUGGUAGGGUAAAAGCCUACCAAGGCGACGAUCCAUAGCUGGUCUGAGAGGAUGAUCAGCCACACUGGGACUGAGACACGGCCCAGACUCCUACGGGAGGCAGCAGUGGGGAAUAUUGGACAAGGGGCGAAAGCCUGAUCCAGCAAUGCCGCGUGAGUGAUGAAGGCCUUAGGGUUGUAAAGCUCUUUUACCCGGGAUGAUAAUGACAGUGCCGGGAGAAUAAGCUCCGGCUAACUCCGUG